AGCAGUGUGGCUCAGUGGAAAGAGCCCUGACUUGGGAGUCAGAGGUCAUGGGUUCGAGUCCCGGCUCUGCCA
rfam:Ornithorhynchus anatinus chromosome X1, whole genome shotgun sequence.